AUCUGACAUCAAUUGACCAUCGUUUUAAUCGAGAUUUUGCCUUCGGGUACAAUUGAGACAGGUGGUGCAUGGUUGUCGUCAGCUCGUGUCGUGAGAUGUUGGGUUAAGUCCCGCAACGAGCGCAACCCUUGUGUUUAGUUGCAAACAGGUCAAGCUGUGCACUCUAGACAGACUGCCGUGGACAACACGGAGGAAGUGGGGAUGACGUCAAAUCAUCAUGCCCCUUAUGAUCUGGGCUACACACGUGCUACAAUGGCCGGUACAACGGGCAGCGAAGGAGCGAUCCGGAGCGAAUCCUAAAAAGCCGGUCCCAGUUCGGAUUGCAGGCUGAAACUCGCCUACAUGAAGUUGGAGUUGCUAGUAAUCGCGAAUCAGAAUGUCGCGGUGAAUGCGUUCCCGGGUCUU
rnacentral:rRNA from 1 species